rnacentral:rRNA from 1 species
GAUGAACGCUGGCGGCGUGCCUAAUACAUGCAAGUCGAGCGAAUGGAUUAAGAGCUUGCUCUUAUGAAGUUAGCGGCGGACGGGUGAGUAACACGUGGGUAACCUGCCCAUAAGACUGGGAUAACUCCGGGAAACCGGGGCUAAUACCGGAUAAUAUUUUGAACUGCAUGGUUCGAAAUUGAAAGGCGGCUUCGGCCGGCACGUAUGGAUGGAACCGCGUCGCAUUAGCUAGUUGGUGAGGUAACGGCUCACCAAGGCAACGAUGCGUAGCCGACCUGAGAGGGUGAUCGGCCACACUGGGACUGAGACACGGCCCAGACUCCUACGGGAGGCAGCAGUAGGGAAUCUUCCGCAAUGGACGAAAGUCUGACGGAGCAACGCCGCGUGAGUGAUGAAGGCUUUCGGGUCGUAAAACUCUGUUGUUAGGGAAGAACAAGUGCUAGUUGAAUAAGCUGGCACCUUGACGGUACCUAACCAGAAAGCCACGGCUAACUACGUGCCAGCCGCCGCUGUAA